rfam:Schistosoma rodhaini strain Burundi genome assembly, scaffold: SROB_scaffold0005976
GUACUGCCGAGGAGUCCAACAACAGGACGAAAUGGCCGUUCAGUGC